GACCUUUUGGAUAGUAAAUAUCCUCUCUACUCUUGUAACAAGCCUGAUUGGGCUGGUGAGCAAAAUAAUGUCCACCAUUGACUACUCUAUAUCCUAACAGGGUUCAGACUUCAAUUAAUGUUUUUUUUCUCUAGCACAGGGUUUACAUUUAGUUAACAAUUGAUUAAGACUCUCCUGAAUUGUGUUCAGAUUAUGGUGAAUGGGACUCUGUUGGGAUCACAUGUCCACCCCUGGGACUUCUACGUUUGUUGACUCUUCCCCUGGACAUUUUAAGGCUUUUUUUAGGCUAUUUUGCCAGAAAAAAAGGAUGCAGUGGAGCAUAGCAUACUUAGAAAAAAACUAACACGUGGAGGACGUGAGCUGAUGCUGGCUGCUGGCACAAUGUCAGAUCCAGACAUAUCCCUUAGGAGUUUGCCCCACCACCACGGAAAAAUAAGCCACUGAAGGAUCUAACACAGCGACAUAAAAAACCCCAGAAAGACAUAGAAACUUCAGUUCCACAGGCCAGACCUACUCCACCUCCUCCCUGCCUAUCGGAUUAUUUCCCUUCACCUACACCACAGAGAUGCCAAAGGGCCCAGGAUUUCUUCAAUUCACCUCCACCACAGGGAUGCCAAUGGCCAAAGGAUUUCUUCAAUUCACCUCCACCACAGGGA